rnacentral:misc_RNA from 1 species
AACGCACAUUGCGCCUACUAGUAUUCUGGUAGGCAUGCCUGUUCGAGCGUCAUUUCAACCCUCAAGCUUUGCUUGGUGUUGAGGUUUUUUACAUUUUUGUAAGCCUCUAAAUCUAGUGGCAGGAUGUUUUAAAACUCCAAGUGCAGUAAUUUUAUUCGCUUUGAGAAUUAUAACAAACUAGCCGUAAAACACAGGACCCCUAAAAAGGCCUAUUUUUACAAGGUUGACCUCGGAUCAGGUAGGAAUACCCGCUGAACUUAA